UACGGAGGGUGCGAGCGUUGUCCGGAAUCACUGGGCGUAAAGGACGCGUAGGCGGCCUGAUAAGUAGGGGGUGAAAUCCUGCGGCUUAACCGCAGGGCUGCCUUCUAAACUGUCGGGCUAGAGCACGGUAGAGGCAGAUGGAAUUCCCGGUGUAGCGGUGGAAUGCGUAGAUAUCGGGAGGAAUACCGAUGGCGAAGGCAGGUCUCUGGGCUAUAACUGACGCUCAUGCACGAAAGCGUGGGGAGCAAACAGG
rnacentral:rRNA from 1 species